rnacentral:rRNA from 1 species
AACGAACGCUGGCGGCAUGCCUAACACAUGCAAGUCGAACGAGACCUUCGGGUCUAGUGGCGCACGGGUGCGUAACACGUGGGAAUUUGCCUCGGGGUAUGGAAUAACUCAGGGAAACUUGAGCUAAUACCAUAUAAUGUCUUCGGACCAAAGAUUUAUCGCCCUGAGAUAAGCCCGCGUAGGAUUAGCUAGUUGGUGGGGUAAAGGCUCACCAAGGCGACGAUCCUUAGCUGGUCUGAGAGGAUGAUCAGCCACACUGGGACUGAGACACGGCCCAGACUCCUACGGGAGGCAGCAGUGGGAAUUUUGGACAAUGGGCGCAAGCCUGAUCCAGCAAUGCCGCGUGCAGGAUGAA